rnacentral:rRNA from 1 species
GGCGGACGGGUGAGUAACGCGUGGGUAACCUGCCUUGUACUGGGGGACAACAGUUGGAAACGACUGCUAAUACCGCAUAAGCGCACAGCUUCGCAUGAAGCAGUGUGAAAAACUCCGGUGGUACAAGAUGGACCCGCGUCUGAUUAGCUGGUUGGUGAGGUAACGGCCCACCAAGGCGACGAUACAUAGCCGACCUGAGAGGGUGAUCGGCCACUGGGACUGAGACACGGCCCAGACUCCUACGGGAGGCAGCAGUAGGGAAUCUUCGGCAAUGGGGGCAACCCUGACCGAGCAACGCCGCGUGAGUGAAGAAGGUUUUCGGAUCGUAAAGCUCUGUUGUAAGUCAAGAACGGGUGUGAGAGUGGAAAGUUCACACUGUGACGGUAGCUUACCAGAAAGGGACGGCUAACUACGUGCCAGCAGCCGCGGUAAUACGUAGGUCCCGAGCGUUGUCCGGAUUUAUUGGGCGUAAAGCGAGCGCAGGCGGUUUGAUAAGUCUGAAGUUAAAGGCUGUGGCUCAACCAUAGUUCGCUUUGGAAACUGUCAAACUUGAGUGCAGAAGGGGAGAGUGGAAUUCCAUGUGUAGCGGUGAAAUGCGUAGAUAUAUGGAGGAACACCGGUGGCGAAAGCGGCUCUCUGGUCUGUAACUGACGCUGAGGCUCGAAAGCGUGGGGAGCGAACAGGAUUAGAUACCCUGGUAGUCCACGCCGUAAACGAUGAGUGCUAGGUGUUGGAUCCUUUCCGGGAUUCAGUGCCGCAGCUAACGCAUUAAGCACUCCGCCUGGGGAGUACGACCGCAAGGUUGAAACUCAAAGGAAUUGACGGGGGCCCGCACAAGCGGUGGAGCAUGUGGUUUAAUUCGAAGCAACGCGAAGAACCUUACCAGGUCUUGACAUCCCGAUGCUAUUUCUAGAGAUAGAAAGUUACUUCGGUACAUCGGUGACAGGUGGUGCAUGGUUGUCGUCAGCUCGUGUCGUGAGAUGUUGGGUUAAGUCCCGCAACGAGCGCAACCCUUAUUGUUAGUUGCCAUCAUUCAGUUGGGCACUCUAGCGAGACUGCCGGUAAUAAACCGGAGGAAGGUGGGGAUGACGUCAAAUCAUCAUGCCCCUUAUGACCUGGGCUACACACGUGCUACAAUGGUUGGUACAACGAGUUGCGAGUCGGUGACGGCGAGCUAAUCUCUUAAAGCCAAUCUCAGUUCGGAUUGUAGGCUGCAACUCGCCUACAUGAAGUCGGAAUCGCUAGUAAUCGCGGAUCAGCACGCCGCGGUGAAUACGUUCCCGGGCCUUGUACACACCGCCCGUCACACCACGAGAGUUUGUAACACCCGAAGUCGGUGAGGUAACCUUUUGGAGCCAGCCGCCUAAGGUGGGACAGAUGAUUGGGGUGAAGUCGUAACAAGGUA